UUGAUCUCAAAUCAGGUAGGAGUACCCGCUGAACUUAAGCAUAC
rnacentral:rRNA from 1 species